GAUGGGAGGAGAGGUUAGAUCGUAGUCGCACUCUCACUGUGACUGCUGCAGCAGGGGAAGUCCCUGCAUCUCACUGCUGUCCCUCUCGUCUCCUCCUCCCUGAUAUCAGCAAUAGGGUCAGAUGAACAUGUGCCGAGCUGUGAUUGGAGGAGCUCGGCACAUGCUGAUUAGAAGAGCCCCUGAUUGGAGGAGCUGUCACAUGCUCCUCUGACCCCUGGAACACGGAGGAUGUCACAGCAUGGCCCCUGUGUUAUCCAUGUGGAUGAGUUCUCUCAUGCAGCGCCGCUGUCACAGUGACCAUAUUUGUUGAAUGUCAGAGUUUUGCGUGGUCCGAGAACUACAUAAGUCACCAAUGUCUCCCGAUGUUCGCCGAUGUUGCAGUGUGCACAGUCCAGCCAGCGGGUCUGCACAACACUCAGAUAAGGAAAGUGGACAUUUAACGCUCAUACACCCAGAGACUCCAUGUAAUAGCAUUUGCAUAUAUUAGCACUUUAGCUGUGUCCGCAUUUGCAAAAGAAUCAGAAUCAGGCCCUGAGUGACGUGAGAGAGCGUGAUGUAAGAGAAAGGUAGCCUAUCUACCUACUGGCAUAUUUAUAAUGGGUGCAGUGUGUGCGGUGCACAUGGGCCUUUGAGUGGGAUCAGUAUGAAAUGCCGGCGGACGGGCUCCCGGCUGUCAUGAUCCCGACAGCGGGAUUCCAUCUGCCGUAAUGGUGGCAGUGGGGCGAGCGAUAGAAAGCCUCUUGCGGGCUCACUGCGCUCACCACGGUGUGGGCACGGUGGCUCGCUGCACUCACCACAGGUUCUAUCGCGUUUUGCGAUCCAACCAGAAUUAGGAACACAGAGUGAUAAAUGACCCACUAAACCAGCUCCUGUCAUUUUUCAAACACAGCCUGUUACAUGACAGUUAGGAGCUGAUUGGCUGGUACUUUAUUACUCUUUAUCUGUCUCCACUUUAUCACUUGUUAAUGUAGAUAUAUUGCAGGAAUGUAGUGAUAUAGUGUGGGGAGAUAGUUGGGGGGUAAUGCUGUGAUAUAGGGGGUGAUUCAGUAAGGAUAGCUUAUGCGAUCCUUACUGCAUUUCCCCCACAUGUGCAGAACGGGUCCUGUGAUCUCAGCCAGGAAUGCAAACAUCUUCCUGAUUGACAGGCAUUGGUGUUCGGAGGGAGGGGCAGGGCUGGCCAGUGUUCAGGAAAACAGGGGCGUGUCGCCCCUGUUUUCCAUGAUUGGCGUGGUCAAGGACUGCAGUUUCCUUGGCCUCACAAGGCCAUCGGGGCGUCAAGCCUGCUGUUGCAGAUGAUCAUCGCGGCUGAUGGUCGUGAUGUUCAUCACAGAUGCGAUUGCAUCGCAAAUGGAUUGAGGAGGUGAUUUGCACCUCUUCCUGCAUUUGCAUUGCAACAAUUUUCAAUUGCAAUUGCAAUCCUUAGUGAAUUAGGCCCAUAGUACGGAGAUGUAGUGUGGGAAGGUAGUGUAGUGAUAUAGCGUGGGGAGGUAGUUGGAGAGGUAAUGCUGUGAUACAGUGCAAAGAUGUAGUGUGUGGUGUGUUUGAGGGAGGGGGCCCCAAACUGGUAUCUUGCCUAGGGCCUCAUGAGGUCUAUAUCCAGCUCUAAUUCUUAUGUAGGGCCUUCAGCUGGAACCUUACCAAUCUCUUUAACUAUGUCCUACCUAAAUAUUUAUCUUAGGUCACAAUGCACUGUACAUUCUCUGGAUCUUCUGUAAUAUAUAUUUUUAUUCCAAAAUAUUUCUACUAAGCAACACCCAGAAUUAUAAUGUGUGUGUGUGUGUGUGUGUGUGUGUGUGUGUGUGUGUGUGUGUGUGUGUGUGUGUGUGUGUGUGUGUAAAA